CAAGGCCUUUGGAUGAUGGUGAUAGGUUGAGCGGAAGCCAAUCAACCUUGUCGAAAAUGGCCUGUGUUACCGGAGACGAUACCGGCGUUGUGAAAAUAUGGGACAUCUCGAAAAGCAGCGGCGCAACGCUAAAGUUCUCAUUUGGUGAGCAGAGCCGGAAACGCGCCAUCAUGGGCAUGUGCUGGGAAGAUAAUAGCACGUCGUCUGUGGCAUUCUCGUCGAAUGACGGCUUUCUUUCUGUGCUGGACAUCAGCGACUACAUUAUCAGCUCCUCUGUGAAGGCGAACACCGUCGCAGGGCUGCCCAACGCCAUGUCGUUUGUGAAGGGAAAGCUUGUUCUUGUCUCCAAAGAUGGCGAGACGAGCGUCUUUAGUAGUGAUCUCACACCAUCAUCUUCGUUUUCGGGCAACGGGCCAAUUGAUGCGGUGCAUAUUCACCGUAAAUUUGGCAUGGUUGCGAUGGGCGGGAGGGAGAAUGAUCUGUGUGUCUACGACUUGGCCUCCGAGGCCGUGGAGGAACCUGUUUUCAAAGCGCGAAAUGUUCGAGACCACAUUUUAGAUGUUCCAUUCCCAGUGUUUGUGACUGGCGCGUGCAUUGUGAACCCAUAUGUUUUUGCCGCUUGCACUGCGUAUCACCAGGUACGGUUUUAUGACCGACGCUCGAAUGACCGACCAGUGCAGGAAUUCGAGAUUAGUCGAGAAAUCGAACGGCGCCCAACAACGAUGCUGCAAUGGAAUGCAAACAAGUUCCUGAUUGGAGAGGCCAGCGGCGACAUUCACUUGUACGAUACCCGACGGGGUUUUUGCUCUCGCGCGAAACUGCGUGGCGGUGUCGGAAGUGUAAGGUGCAUGUGCAAGCAUCCUGCUGGUCACCAAAUUCUCGGUGUCACGGGCCUGGACCGCAAAGCGCGUCUUUACCACGUGCCGACUGGAAAGCUGCUGAUGUCAGUGUACGUAAAGCAGAAGGCGAAUUGCUUGCUGCUUGACAAACAACUGCCGCUGAGAGAUAAAGUUACGGCGUUCAGUGGCGUCGUGAACACGAAGCAGCCUGAAAAAGCCAACACGCUAGGAGAUGCUUUGUGGGAUGACAUGGACCCGGUGCUGGAUGACCUGGACGAAAAGGAAAUUGUAGCGGAUACUGCCACCCAGAGCAGGCGUAAAGUGCAACGAAAAGAGUGAAGGAGCUCAAUCGACUUUUUUUUCCGCUAUAUGGUGUUGUGGAAAAGGCGAAUGAUUCAUAAAGGGGGCGUAGGGACUUUAUGCCCUACUGCGAGAGCGGAGUGACCGAAGGACGUCGCUGAGUUCCACAGUCAACUUCUUUGUGCGAUUAAGGAAUAAAACGGUAGUUAAAGAAAGGUUCACAACAGCGCUGGUGCAUUCGAGCAUCCUAGCUAGUAAGGUGUUUUCAGGGGCGGAAAUGGUGCGUGCGGUAUUUCGGAAACCCAUCGGAAUAGGGCAGCAACCGACUUUUCACCAUUGAAGGGAUUACCUCAACGGAACUGAAAAUAGGAAAUAUACCGCGGUACAUCGAGCAUUGAUUCAGUGCACAUAGUGGUGUAUAUAUCUUUUUUUCGGUUUUUUGCGUCGUGCGGAGUUCUGCGCUGCUGUAGCUCCUGCUCACACAGAGGUGAUAUCUCAAUGCUCUGCUCUCUUCCUUCACCGUUUUCGUCUUCUUACGUGCGCACUUGUUGCUGGCUAAUUUCACCUAUCUUAUGCGCGACAAUGAGCAAGCUGAAG
rnacentral:misc_RNA from 1 species